GCACUAACAAAUAGUCUCUUACUGGUGUUGCAUUUUAACCUAAAUCUUGUUUCUUCUUUAGCAUCACGGGUGCUAUCCUGGACAUACCAGGUUUUCAAAUUAUUUGUCAGGUGGAAUACCACAUUUAUGUGACUGAAACGGAAAAUUGUCUCACCUUUGCCACAAAGGACGGAAAGAUUACCAUUAAGGAAAUAAAACUUGUACGACUUGAUAAGUUAACCAAACAAGUAAUACCAUUGCCAGUGAUGCCACUUGUCUCUACUGUGAUCACAAUAGACUUGACACAGAAUAAAGAAUGCUUCGGACCCUUCACGCCUCUCGAGAACAGCGGGUCUGGGUCUAAGGACGGUGGUUACUUCUUAUAUAAGAUGAAAGAUGCAAAUUUCAUUGAAAAAGGCCUUUUGGUGACCUUCUGUGUUAAAUUCAAUGAUAAAGGACAGCUAAUUAAUGUGCCUGGUAAACAAAUACCUAAAAAUCAGGAAAAUACUAAUACUUCCAUGGGAAUGUCUUCAGAACAAAUCAAGAAACUAAUUGUUCAAUUGGUAAAGGAAAUAUCUAAAAAGGAACCGUCAAGUGAAAUGGAAAUUUCUAUAAAGAAAACCACCUGUACAUUCGAAGUAGAGAAACUUAUACUAAUUCUUGAUUUUGAUGUGAAAAAAGAUGGCAUGAUUUCUUCUGGUCAGGUGGUGAUCCUCAUCUCCUUUAGCUGUAAGAUUAACAAUGGCCACAUAGUUGGUGUCUUCACCCUUGUAAGCUCUGAGACCAGGAUGGACACUCCUGAUAAUGAAUUUGCCAAUACUAUAAUAAAAAGUAUGCCUGCUGAAGUGGUGAAAAAAAUGAAUGAUAAUUUAAAACAGUGUAACACACCGCCGAAUUCAUGCCAUCUGCCAGGUGUACAAGAGGGAAAAUGUCAUUUUACAAAACAGGGUGAUCUUAUAGCAAUGAACUAA
rnacentral:lncRNA from 1 species